CGACGCAGAAGAAGAAAAUUAAUGAAAUGUUAGGCUAGGCUAGUUUCCAAUAAUCCUAAAUCAUCAACAUAUCGUCAAACUUUUUUCACUAAAUCCCUAAAUCAUGAACACAUUGUGCCAUCAAUCAUAUUCUUCAUCACCGUCAACACGAUCUCUCCUUCAUUCACCCCCUCCGUCAAUGCGAUCUCUCCUUCAUUCACGCCCUCCGUCAACACGAUUUCUCCUUCGUUAACAAGAGCAUAGUUUGCGUCGUUUUCCACUCGUUCUUUCUCCUAUUCUCCGGUGUUCAUCUCCUAUUCGUCGACGUCGUGUACUGACAGGUAUCAAUGGAGAUGAUGAAAAUGAUAAUGAAUUAUUUCAAGAUGACAAUGUAGGUGAUAAAUUUCAAGAUGAUGAAUUUGAAAUGUACAACGUAGAUAAUGAAUCUGAAGAAGAUGCACUUGAAGAAUUGGAUGACUAAUUUAUGGAUGAUUUUGGAUGAUGUUUUUUGUUAGGCAUGUACUUAAUUUAUCAAUUGUUGUACGCUAUGACAACAAUAAAAAAUGUUGCCUUAGAUGUGUUGAAUAAUUGUUCCCUAUUCCUAUAAUUUAGGCAAUGUUUAUAAAUAGUGUGCCAAAUAGUGUGAGAAAAAUAUUGCCAAAAGUAUUAGGCAA